rnacentral:rRNA from 1 species
GACGAACGCUGGCGGCGUGCUUAACACAUGCAAGUCGAGCGAUGAAGUUCCUUCGGGAAUGGAUUAGCGGCGGACGGGUGAGUAACACGUGGGUAACCUGCCUCAUAGAGGGGAAUAGCCUUCCGAAAGGAAGAUUAAUACCGCAUAAGAUUGUAGUGCCGCAUGGCAUAGCAAUUAAAGGAGUAAUCCGCUAUGAGAUGGACCCGCGUCGCAUUAGCUAGUUGGUGAGGUAACGGCUCACCAAGGCGACGAUGCGUAGCCGACCUGAGAGGGUGAUCGGCCACAUUGGGACUGAGACACGGCCCAGACUCCUACGGGAGGCAGCAGUUGGGAAUAUUGCACAAUGGGGGAAACCCUGAUGCAGCAACGCCGCGUGAGUGAUGACGGUCUUCGGAUUGUAAAGCUCUGUCUUCAGGGACGAUAAUGACGGUACCUGAGGAGGAAGCCACGGCUAACUACGUGCCAGCCGCCGCGGUAA